UACGUAGGGGGCGAGCGUUGUCCGGAUUUAUUGGGCGUAAAGAGCUCGUAGGCGGCUCGGUAAGUCGGAUGUGAAACCUCCAGGCUCAACCUGGAGACGCCAUCUGAUACUGCCGUGGCUUGAGUCCGGUAGAGGAGCAGGGAAUUCCUGGUGUAGCGGUGAAAUGCGCAGAUAUCAGGAGGAACACCAGCGGCGAAGGCGCUGCUCUGGGCCGGGACUGACGCUGAGGAGCGAAAGCGUGGGGAGCGAACAGG
rnacentral:rRNA from 1 species